AACGGCAUAUCAAUAAGCGGAGGAGCAUGCCUGUUUGAGUGUCAUGAAACCCUCAAACCCAAGUUUUGGAUUUCGGUCCAUGCUUGGGUUUGGAUUUGGAUGUUUGCCGGUGAUGAACCGACUCAUCUUAAAAGUAUUAGCUGGAUCUGUCUAUAUGACUGGUUUGACUUGGCAUAAUAAGUAUUUUGCUGAGGACAUCUUCGGAUGGCCAGUACCUAGACUACUGUCUGCUAACUAAACCAUCACUUUAAGUGCAUCUUUGGAUGUUACUCAUUGUGUAACUUUGACAUCUGGCCUCAAAUCAAGUAGGACUACCCGCUGAACUUAA
rnacentral:misc_RNA from 1 species